CAUCUUUAAAGAGCAAUUUUUAAAAGCUUCUUUAUAAGAUUAUUUUACAAGUCAUUCUGUUUACAAAAUGGCAAGAUCAUGAAGAAGGAGUCGUAGAUUUCAAGGGAAUCAACAUGCCGUGUAGAAGCGGGGAAAACUAAGCCAAAAUUCCCUUCAAAAAUUGAAUAAAAAUCGAAGUACACGAUCCAGUCCGACCAGUCGUGUUCAAGAUGAAAACUCUAAUAAGGCAGCGCAUGCAGUCGGCCUCGGCCAGGAACACUGGUGAAAUUUAUAGUGAUACUUUAGUGUCUAUGUACAGUGGAUAAAGUAAGUG